UCCAGCAGAGGGGGCAGGCUGGUCUGAUGACUCUAUCCCUGGUACUCUAUUGAGGGAGAGGCAGGACCAAGGCCCUGAUCUGGGCAGGCUGGUUGUUAGGUGCUGCCCAUUCAGAACCCUGCUGCACAUGUUGCUUUUAAGAAACUCAAAGAAGAGGAUUGUAAUUCUGGGCUCAGGAGCUUAACGCUUGGAGAAGAUGGUUAUUUGCUCCCAGAGAGGGAGGAAGCUGGCAGAAGCAAAGGGCCCAGGAAGUCAGCAGCCUGCCCUUCCAUGAAUGAGCUCAGGACUCCUCAGCCAGUGCCCUUGGCCUGAGAGUGUACAUUCCUCCAGUUUGGACAUCUAAGGGGUUGCAGGGCUCACAGUGAAGUUCCGGAAGUUAUGGCAUCUGGGUGUCACCUGCUGUCACUUCUCCUUCAUACAGCUCCUGGGUGGUUGCUUCAAGCAAUAAUGUUUUUGCUGAAGUUGACAAAUCUUCUGGCCUCUUCCUUCUGGCUUGUCUCCUGAGUUUCACUGUGGUCUCCAUGGAUGACAUCCUCUUCUACACCCUUGUACACCUUUGUGUCAUGUGACAAUUAAAGUAUCAUUGCAUUGGCAUUUA